AAGUCGUAACAAGGUUUCCGUAGGUGAACCUGCGGAAGGAUCAUUACAAGUGAGGCUGUCGAACACCGGUAAAACGGUGGUUAGACGGCUUACACCCACCCGUGUUUACAUACUAUUGUUGCUUUGGCGGGCCGUGGCCUCCACUACGGGCUCUGCUCGUGUGUGCCCGCCAGAGAACCAAACUCUGAAUGUUAGUGAUGUCUGAGUACUAUCUAAUAGUUAAAACUUUCAACAACGGAUCUCUUGGUUCUG
rnacentral:misc_RNA from 1 species